GAAGAUGUCGUUUCCCCGGUUCUUUCCGUGCCGCAGCCUCGCUCCACCCUGCCUGGGUGGGCACUGGGAGGGAACUUCCUUAGCACUUUCAGAGGUGGAGUUAGGGCGGCGCAGCUGCGUGCUGGAAAAAGCACCCAGCCAGACGAGGGAACCUGGGUUUAGGACCUGCCCUGCCCGUGACCGAAGGGAUGAUUGAGGAGUAUCCCAGCCCCAGAAAGCCUUGGUUUCUGUAGCUGUAAAAUCGUUUUCCUAAUAUUUUCUAUUUCUCCGUGGUCCUUCGCGUGGCCAAAAACAUGCCUUAUGGGUCUGUUAUCCAACCGACAACCCAGUCUGGGGUCUGACAACCCAGUUCUUUCAACCUUUAUUAGGUUGAAGAAGGUCCUUGAAUCAUUGUCACAGAAGAUGUUCCAAAUGACUUCAGUGUCUCACAACUCAUACAAAAAUCGGAUCUCUUGGGGAAGAGAACUGGGAACCAAAAAGCAAAACCUGUUGUGCCCAUCAUGUACCAGUUUGUGGUGACUCUGACUUCUCCAAGUAUCUGCCAACCUCCAGAACAAUAAAGAAGUCGAGAAGGCCCCACAGGGAUGGAAGGAAGAGGCUGCAGAGAAUUAAACGUCAGUUUCUCAAACUUUCAAGGACAUAGCUGGAUAGCUUCAGUAUGGACUUGCUGGAUUUCCAAAAAAAAAAAAAAAGUGCCGAAUGCUUUACUGUGUUCCGGGAAGCAUUGAAAGCACUUUUUAUGUGCACUUGUAUUAUUAUCCCAUUUCCUAGAUGAGAAAAGUGAGGACUGAAGAAAUCACCUGUCUUACCAAGGGUCCCACAGCUUGUGAAAUAAUAGGAUAAUAGAUCCUACUCUGGCCCCAAAACACAAGCUCUUAAAUUCUUCAAAAUUUGACCAAAAUAGGAUUAAAAUCAUAAAUAAGGAAAUACCUGCAGGCUCUCACAGGAAUACAGAUGAGAGGCCUUUGGGGCCUUAGAGGAAAAGAUGUGGCAUUGGUGUAUUGUCACUCUGUGAUAUUGAACUCCAAGCACAGCAUGCCGAGACAGUUGGGGUGUUAGAAGAGUAAAGUUUGCAUGUAGCCAUACAAUUCUGGUUCUGCCUCUGACCAGCCACAUGACCCUGAACAAGCCACUUCACCCCUAGGCCUAAGUUUAUUUUUUAAGUGGAGUGUGACAUGGAGGUCAGAGUUUGGUUGAAUUGCUUCAUCUCUGAGGUCUUUCCUGGGUCUGAACUUGAAUGAACGUAUACUCCUCCAGGCAGAUGGCAUGCCUAUGGAGGAAGCUCAGUGAUAAAGCCAGGAUGUCUUGGGGAGAGGACUGUUUUCACUCUGCCUUUGGAAUCAAAAUGAAUGUUGGGAAUGCUGCUGAGUGUUCCAUGGCCAAAACAAAACACACACAAACACACCAAGAUUUAGCACUAAGUCUGUGGCCUCAUUUUAAUUUAAAUAAUUUUACUUCUAAAUUAAAAAAAAACACACACACACACUAUCAAUUUAAAAGCCCAUAUAACAAAAAAUAAAAAUAAAAAAUAAAAGCCCAUAUAAAGUACAUCUGACCAGCCGCUUUUCUCUUUCUUUAGAAUAGAUCGCAGAAAAGCAAUACUACAAGUUACAUUUUUUAAAUAGGAUGUCCAAUGCGAAGUGAAGAAAGCCUUUCAUUCUCUAAAUAAAUAUAUAAAAACUAGUCACACGCUACUUUCAAAAAAACUGAAAAAAAAUUUCCUAAGUCUACAUCACACUCAAGUCUCCUUAAUAUGCGUCAGAGGGAACAGGAUGGUUGAUGGCCUGGGUCCCAAACACAUCACUGCAGAUUGACUUUAUAACUUUGCAGUUUUAGGAACUUGUCAAUAUUAGAUAGCCCCCAAAAUACUUCAACUGUCCUAAGCCUGACUCAAACUAUAAAUACAGGCAGAAUUUCAUGGGCCUUCAUGAUACCUCUCACCUUCAAUAUAUUCCUCAUACUAAUUUAUUAAUUUUAUACCUUCAGAAACACUGAAAUCACUUGAAAGCAAAACAAAACAAGUUCACCAAAAGUGAGCAGACCUUUUUAGGAAAACUAAUGAUCUUUAGGGACCUUCUACAAAUGUUAAAAUCGUAUAUAUUAUUUGUGUAUUUGUUUUUAUCCUUUCUCUAAUACCAAUUCCUAAUAGAAUAUUUGAAAGCUUACAAUAAUAGUGGGAAAGAAUAAUGGGGAGCUUUUUAAAAAUACACAUGCUCUCUGUAUCCCCUACUCCCCAUAUCUUACUCAUCUUAGUCCCUGAGUCUAGGGUGGAGGCUUUGGUUGGUAUCUGUAUAUGUGUAUCUAUCAUUUUUUUAGACAGUAUUUUAUUGAGACAUAAUUCACAUUCAAUCAAAAGCACAAUCCUAAGUGUACACACUUGAUGAUUUUUUUCAUAUACAUCCAUAUGACCACCACCCAGUUCAAGAUAUAGAAAAUGUCCAUCAGCAUAAAAAUUUCCCUCCUGUGACUUUUCAGUCAGUAUCAGCUUGCCAAGCUAACUUCUACCAGUAGUUUUGCUAGUUCUCAAACUUCAUAUAAACAGAAUUACAGUGUGUGUGUGUGUGUGUGUGUGUAUACAUAUAACAAUUUGCUUAUCCAUUCUCCUGUUGAUGUAUUGGACAGGUCUAUUUUGAAAACAUUUCCCAAGUAAUUCUGUUAUCCUGGCCCCCUCUAACUCAGAACCACUGACUUAACAGCAAAAAUGUAAUAAAAUAAGCCUAGCUCAUUAACACCUACAAAGACAUUAAGCAACAGAGAAGGAAAGAAAGAGAACACUUUGGGAGAACCAAAUGUAAGAGUGCUUUAAUCGUAGCAUACAUCCAGAGCUCCUUGUUAAUGAGAACAAAUUAGCAAAUUGUGAUAUGAACUUCUUGUUAUCUAGUGAUUUUUUUCAAGCUACAUGAUUCUGCAGAGCUAUUGUGUAUAGCCACACUCUAGAAAGAGUAAUUCACAUGCAUAAUUGGUACUUUCGGCAAGAUUUAAAGUACACAAUGCCACUCCAUGAGCUAGAAUAGUCUGGAGUGUGAAUGGCGUCCUCUAGAGUUGUACCAUGUGGUGACCAUGGUAUUACAAGUUCUCCCUUUAGAAAUUGUUUCAUGGUACCUGCUUUAGAAAAAUCAUUUCUGAAACAGGCGACUGAGCCCUUCUUCCCUCCUGGUGCAUCUUUGAGGGGGAGAGAAGUGGCCACAGCCCAGCCUUUCCCCAGGUCGACUAAGCCAGUAAGUCACAUUCUUCUCAAAUAUUGAUAAAAUAAUGAGAGACUUUUGUGGAAGUAUAGAUUAGAUGAAAGUGCCAAACGUUUAUUUGGAUUUGCUCUCCAGGCUCUUUUGGAGGCUCUCCAUACCUGCACCCUUUUAUGUUACAUACUUCUCCAGUUCAUCAUCUGUCCUAAUGUCUCAUGCUGUCAUUCCUGCCGCACCCUCCUCUCUGGCCACUGAGCCUUGUGGUCAUUUCUUCUCCAUUUUAUUUCUCUUUCCUUUACCCACUUCUCAGGAGAAGGCUCUCUGCUUCCCAAAGGGACGGACGACUCCCUGACCUGAGCCAAAGAAGAAAGGGCCCCCAUUCCCAUGCCUGUCAACCUAAGCCACAAGUGAAUUAUUGCCUUGUUACUUCCUUCUGGAAAGAAUGUCAAACAUUUUUAUGUUGUAUUUUUUUCAGGCUGGAAGGAGAAAGAUGAAUAUGUCCUCCUGAGACACUUUGCCAGCUCCUCUGGUAACUACAGUUGACCACAUGGGCAGUGAUCUCAGUUAGCUAUCUGGACGUCAGGCAGAUUCACUCGAGGCAGAUCCCUAGUUUUUGCAAUGAAAAUGCACAAGAUUCAGCCAGUUGGUUUCUCUUUAAAAAGUCUAUACAAUAGCAGUGUAUAUUUAUAUUUAUCAAGUACACUCUGGAAAGAGUAAUUCACAUGCAUAAUUGGUACUUUCAGCAAGAUUUAAAAGAAAUGUAUUCAUUAUCCUCCUCUACUAAUUUCAUCUGGGCUUGCAAACCCUUUGAAUCAUGUUUUAAAGGUCCAAGCUUCCUGAUCAUAUUCACCUGACUCAGCUUGCUGACUUUCCCCACCUCCCCCAGCCCUAAUAUUAUCUUCCAGCUUUUCAGGCUUGAUAGGAAACACAUAGCUUAUCUCCCUACACACUGGCAUAUACACGCACACAUCAAAUCACCGCAACCUCUGUGCAGCGUGCUGCUAAUGAAAAGCUUACCCAAGCCUUAUUGCUCAAAAUUGUGUUAGGUGGAAAAGGAGGCUUUUACUGCUCCUGCAAUCUCUUCUAGGAGAGCUUCGUCAUUGUGAUUUAAACAAUUUUAAACUUUAUAAUAGAAUAGAGUCAUUUAAAGAAGAAAACAUUUUUCAUAGUCACUUACAUAUGGUUUUUAAUCUUAAAAACAUACUCUAAUGUUGAGUGCAGCAGAUCUAGUAGGCAAGGUCAACUGUCUUAGUAUAAGCUCCCUCAGUUUAAGAACAAAACCCCACUUCAGAUUGUUCAAGCAAAAAAGGAAUAUAUUGGCAGGAUGCUGAAACAUGUCAUGGAAUCCAUGAGAAAGAAGGGUGGGACCAAAGAACCAUGAGGGUACUCUGCUUUUCUCCCUCUGUCUGGGGGUACUAUCCUCAACUUUUGCCCAUAUCCAGGCUUAAUAGCUAUGUGACCCUGGGCAAAUAACUCUCACCUGAAUUUCCUCAAAAAGGGGAGUGAUGUAAAAAGGGGAAAUGACAAACAUACCUACUUUGUAGAGUUGUAGCAAUGGUUAAAUUAGUCAAUAUGUGAAAAAUUCUUAGAACAGUACCUGAUAUACACUGAGCUCUCAGUAUGUUACCUAUCAAUAUUAUCAUUAACCUCAUUCUACUUCUGCAGGCUGGUUUUCUCUCCUUCAGCAGGGACUGGAUCUCAAAUCCAAAUUCUCAAGAGAAAGAACAUGGCUUGAGUUGAGUUGUCAACCCAGGAUCUUGGAGAAGGACCAGGCUGCUGUGGUUGGACCCAGCCCUUUGUGUGGGAAGAACAGUUCCCAGAAAGGAGAGAAUGGCUGGAAGAGAGGGGGCCCACAAUGGGGAAACCACACCAGCAUAGAAGAAGGGCCAUGUGAGAACAUAGCAAGAAAGAGAGCAAGGAGAAAGAUCUCCCCAGAAAUUAACUCUGCCAGCACCUUAACCAUGGACUUCCAGCCUCCAGAACU